GGCUGAAUCGAGUGUCGUAGCAGGAAUUCUUAAAGCCAGCAGUCCCAAGACUGGGUGGAGAGAGCGGCGGGACAGACAGAGAGCGCGCCUGAGUGGCAGCAGCAGGCCUUAAUGGCAGUGGACAGCAGGCAGGGGACCGGUGGCUCAAGCCGCAGCCCUGAUGCCAGAAAAGGACAUCCUCCUAGAUCGCCGCACUGUGCUUCC
ensembl:misc_RNA